UGGGGAAUCUUGCGCAAUGGGGGAAACCCUGACGCAGCAACGCCGUGUGAGUGAUGAAGGCCUUCGGGUCGUAAAGCUCUGUCGGCGGGAACGAGGGAUAGGUGUUCGAAUAAAACAUCUAUUUGACGGUACCCGCAAAGGAAGCACCGGCUAACUCUGUGCCAGCAGCCGCGGUAAGACAGAGGGUGCAAGCGUUGUUCGGAAUCAUUGGGCGUAAAGCGCGCGUAGGUGGCUUUGUAAGUUGAAUGUGAAAACCCAGGGCUCAACCUUGGAAGUGCAUUCAAGACUGCAAAGCUUGAGUCCUGGAGAGGGUGGUGGAAUUCCCAGUGUAGAGGUGAAAUUCGUAGAUAUUGGGAGGAACACCAGAGGCGAAGGCGACCACCUGGACAGAGACUGACACUGAGGCGCGAAAGCGUGGGUAGCAAACAGG
rnacentral:rRNA from 1 species